UUUUAAAAGAGAUGCACGGGUGCGUGUUGCCUAAGAUUUUUCUUAGUAUUUUCAAACUUUUGCUGCCCUUGUUGAAUCUUUUCAAUCACGGUUUAUACAGCACUCCAGCAGGACAACUGAUAGAACGUCAAGACACCUACUCAGUGCUAGAAUGGAAAAAUAGCCAUGAUGUGCAAGUGUCUCUGUAAUGCACAGUUGAUCAGUGUCACAGAACCAGCUUUGCAAGAACUCUUGCCACAGUGUUGACGUACAUGUACAUGUAUCAACAUUCAAGAAGGAAUUCUUCAGAGACACUGGUGGAGUCACUGCAGCCCAAUGCAACCAGUUGCCUGAGGUCGCUACAAGUUGCUGAAGGUCACUCUUGGCCCAAAAUGUCACCUGACUUAAGAGAUAUGCAUGACAGUUGCUUGAUGUGACUACAGGUCCCUGACUACCACUACUGAUUUACCAUUGUGGAUUAUGGACACUUUGUUUCUGCACCCAGCAUCGAUUGCCACUCCACAGUUUGGACAUUGAAUAGUAUGAACAUGCACAUUUUGAAGCAAACUAAAUAGGGCAGACAUUCAGACCCUUUGUCCUGCUUGUCCUACAAGUUUGCCAACAGGAAACAGUCAUUUGUUGCCUGCAGUACUGAUGGACCAUCCCUGUUUUGCUGCCAGUGGCAGGACACUCAGAAGUGGACAUGAUAAAGGAAUCAACUUGAUUUGCAUAGGCAGA